rnacentral:rRNA from 1 species
ACAGAAGGUAAUAGUCCUGUAUGUUAAACGAGAAGACUUUAGAUAUGAUCCAGAGUACCACGGGACACGUGAAACCCUGUGGGAAGCAGGAGGGACCACCCUCCAAGGCUAAAUACUACCUAGUGACCGAUAGCGUAUAGUACCGUGAGGGAAAGGUGAAAAGAACCCCGGGAGGGGAGUGAAAUAGAACCUGAAACCCUGCACUUACAAGCUGUGGAAGCACAUUUCUUGUGUGACCGCGUACUUUUUGUAGAACGGGCCAACGAGUUACGUUAAGUAGCAAGGUUAAGCACUUAAGGUGCGGAGCCGUAGCGAAAGCGAGUUUUAACUGAGCGUUCAGUUACUUGACGUAGACCCGAAACCGGGCGACCUACCCAUGAGCAGGAUGAAGCGAAAGUAAAAUUUCGUGGAGGUCCGAACCCACGAGCGUUGAAAAGCUCGGGGAUGACUUGUGGGUAGCGGUGAAAUUCCAAUCGAGCCCGGAGAUAGCUGGUUCUCCCCGAAAUAGCUUUAGGGCUAGCCUCAAGGUGAGAGAUACGGAGGUAGAGCACUGAAUGUCCUAGGGGGUAUUGCACCUACCGAAGACUAUCAAACUCCGAAUGCCGUCAUCUUAUACUUGGGAGUCAGACUGUGGGUGAUAAGAUUCAUAGUCGAAAGGGCAACAGCCCAGAUCGUCAGCUAAGGUCCCUAAAUGUAAGUUAAGUGGUAAAGGAUGUGGGAUUGCACAGACAACCAGGAUGUUGGCUUAGAAGCAGCCACUCAUUCAAAGAGUGCGUAAUAGCUCACUGGUCGAGUGAUCCUGCGCCGAAGAUUUCCGGGGCUAAAACUU